rnacentral:rRNA from 1 species
UACGUAGGGUGCGAGCGUUGUCCGGAAUUAUUGGGCGUAAAGAGCUUGUAGGCGGUUUGUCGCGUCUGCCGUGAAAAUCCGGGGCUCAACCCCGGACUUGCGGUGGGUACGGGCAGACUAGAGUGUGGUAGGGGAGACUGGAGUUCCUGGUGUAGCGGUGAAAUGCGCAGAUAUCAGGAGGAACACCGAUGGCGAAGGCAGGUCUCUGGGCCACUACUGACGCUGAGAAGCGAAAGCGUGGGGAGCGAACAGG